rnacentral:tRNA from 1 species
AGCGGGGUAGAGAAAUGGCAUCUCGCCAGGCCCAUAACCUGGAGACUCCCGGUUCAAGUCCGGGCCCCGCAA